AUGGCUAGUCAGUUGCAGGGGAUUCAGCAGCCGCUGCUGGCCGAGAAGCGGGCAGCCGAGAAGGUGUCCGAGGCCCGCGAAAGAAAGAACCGGAGGCUGAAGUAGGCCAAAGAAGCAGCUCAGGCUGAAAUUGAACAGUACCGCCUGCAGAGUGAGAAAGAAUUCAAGGCCAAGGAAGCUGCGGCACUGGGAUCCCAUGGCAGUUGCCGCACUGAAGUGGAGGAGGAGACCCAGGAGAAGAUGACCAUCCUCCAGACCUACUUCCAGCAGAACAGGGAUGAAGUCUUGGAUAACCUCUUGGCUUUUGUCUGUGACAUUCGGCCAGAAAGCCAUGAAAACUACCGCAUAAAUGGAUAAAAGAAGAGAGAACACCUGUUCUGUGGAGUGGCAUUUUAGAUGCCCUCAUGAAUAUGAAGCUUUAGCACAGCUCUAGUUAUAUUCUUAUGAAAUGGCAUUAAAUUAUUUCCAUAUAUUAUAUAGUAGGUCCUUCCACUUUUUGGACAGUAGCAAAUCUAACUUUUUUGUACAGACUUAGAAAUUAUCCAAAGAUUUCAUCUGUUUACCUCAUAUUUCUUAGGAAUUUAAUGGGUAUAUGUUAUCUUUUUUUCCUAUGCCUUUUGGCUCAAGCAACAUGCAUAUCACUGUUGACUUUUUCUUUCUUAGAUAUAGUU